GCCUUCGUGGUGGAACGGUUAGCAUACUCGGCGCGUAUUCGGGAGAUACAGGUUCGAGUCCCGGCGAGGGCA
rnacentral:tRNA from 1 species